GACGAACGCUGGCGGCGUGCUUAACACAUGCAAGUCGAACGGAAAGGCCCUGCUUUUGUGGGGUGCUCGAGUGGCGAACGGGUGAGUAACACGUGAGUAACCUGCCCUUGACUUUGGGAUAACUUCAGGAAACUGGGGCUAAUACCGGAUAGGAGCUCCUGCUGCAUGGUGGGGGUUGGAAAGUUUCGGCGGUUGGGGAUGGACUCGCGGCUUAUCAGCUUGUUGGUGGGGUAGUGGCUUACCAAGGCUUUGACGGGUAGCCGGCCUGAGAGGGUGACCGGCCACAUUGGGACUGAGAUACGGCCCAGACUCCUACGGGAGGCAGCAGUGGGGAAUAUUGCACAAUGGGCGGAGGCCUGAUGCAGCAACGCCGCGUGCGGGAUGACGGCCUUCGGGUUGUAAACCGCUUUCGCCUGUGACGAAGCGUGAGUGACUGUAAUGGGUAAAGAAGCACCGGCUAACUACGUG
rnacentral:rRNA from 1 species